AUUGAACGCUGGCGGCAGGCCUAACACAUGCAAGUCGAACGAGUGGCGGACGGGUGAGUAAUGUCUGGGAAACUGCCUGAUGGAGGGGGAUAACUACUGGAAACGGUAGAUAAUACCGCAUACCAUCGGAUGUGCCCAGAUGGGAUUAGCUAGUAGGUGGGGUAAAGGCUCACCUAGGCGACGAUCCCUAGCUGGUCUGAGAGGAUGACCCGCGACACUGGAACUGUGGCACGGUCCUGAACACAACGGGAGGUAGCAGUGGGGAAUAUUGCAUACUGGGCGCAAGCCUGAUGCAGCCAUGCCGCGUGUAUGAUGAAGUCUUUCGGGUUGUAAAGUACUUUCAGCGGUGAGGCGUUACCCGCAGAAGAAGCACCGGCUAACUCCGUGCGAGCAGCCGCGGUAAUG
rnacentral:rRNA from 1 species